rnacentral:lncRNA from 1 species
UUCGAAUCACAUUUAUAGCAUAUAUAUAUACCACAGAUCACGUUUAUAAUAACAAUAUAGCAUAUAAACCGCAUUUCAUCAUCAGAUUCGAUCUCAACAUGAAUCCACACAUGAACAUCAUCAAAUCCAUCGAUACAUGUCUGAAAUACACAUAACGUCGCGUAACAAGUGCAUACAUGUCCAACAUACAUGUCCAACAUGAGGGCAAAAGGGUCUAACAUGCGUCCUAGUCGAGAAGAUGGAGGCAAAGGUACUUUGCUCGUCACCGAGUACCCCCCACAGGUCCUCCUCCUACAAAAGGAGAGAAAAAGAUUAGUAUCCACUCAAAAAUUCGGCAGCACCUCCCCUGCACGGGGAGGUUCCAAGACCUGCAAAAAACAUGGCACGAAGGCCAACAACGACCACGGCACGAAGGCCGAUAACCACAGCGGCACGAAGGCCGACAACCAUCGCGGCACGAAGGCCAACAUCACAAUGGCACGAAGGCCAACAAUUAGAAGGAUUAAUUACCACACCUGCUCAAAUGCAACAUGGAUAGAUAAACUUUUUUCAGAGAGCUUGUCAUACUUUAUUAUUAUUAUUACAGUAUAAACAACUGCUAAUUCAAACUUUACUGGUUUUGCUAGGAUUCUUGCAUUUUAAUACGUACAAAACACAACAUUUCAGGGUCCAUCACUGGAGAUUCUAUGGACAGAACACAUGUGAAAAUGCAGUGUUGCUGUUAAAAUUUAGCAUAUGCUCACAUGUGAAACAAAGCAAAGCUAUUUAGAACCACAAGUGUGAAUACAAUUAUAAAUAAAAGCAGAGAAUAACCAGUAAGAGAAGGCCUAAAAAUAAUAAAAAUGAUGACAGAACUAUCAAAUACUGAAGAUAGACAUAGCAGUAAAAUAAUACAAUAGAAUGAUAAGCAGUACUUAUCCUCUUUUAUUGUUGUGAUGUUAACUACAGCAGGACUGGACAUGUCACCCAAGAAGCAUGUCAACAUCAAAAUAGACAGAACAGUACCUAAGUAAAUAAAUAAAUAAAUGAUGGACUGUAAUCCUCAUCUUCUCAUGGGAAAGGGAAGCAAAGCAGACAGUAGCAAUACUAAAGUAACUAAUAGGAUCCGUAUAUCAUGGGACAAGAGCCAUACGUCUUCAUACGUCUACUCUGCUGAUUCUUGUAGAGCAUAGUAUGGCUCCAAAAGUGAAGCAUAACCCAAGCAUCAUAAUGCUAAUCGUAUUAGAAGAAACAAAUCCUGAGCAAAGACAUGGGCAGAAUCCAACCAAUGUCAUUACCAACAUGCGGCGGCCAAUAAUGCAAGCACUGCAGCAGGCACCUUCAGACAGGCACUGUGCACCAAUAAUUACCUUAUAUGAGACAGGCACCUUCUCUUUGCAGAAUUUGAAGGAAUUUUAUUGGUUCCAAAUGAAUUUUUUUUUGUUUCUUUUCAAAAUCUUCAGUUCUUUUUUUUAGUUUAGUUGAAAGUAAGGCAAUGGCAUCAUAGGUUUGAAGUCUUUGGCAGAAACUCUUUCUUGGCAGAAACUCUGUCUGUUUCUUACCUGACCAGGGCACCAGGCCUUGCUGAUUCUGCCAUGCCAUGCCUUGCACUGCUCGCUCAAUAUGACAGCCAGAGUUGCAGAGUUGUUCAGUCUUGUUGAAAGCAGAGAUGUUCGAGCUCGAUGGCUGAAACUGAAAGCACUGGAUGAUUCUUUUAGCUUACUAGGCGUCUAGGCUUUAUCGAUUUGAUUUGAUGCUUGAUAGGUCAUGUCUUUUGCUCAGUCAAUUUCACAGUUAGAGAUGCUGGGAUAUCUCCCAAUGUCAAGCAGUGUGGUGUCAGUUUCUCGGUACUUUUGCACAGAUAGGACAGUAAUUUGUAUGAGCUUCAAAUUCCUUCCAAGUUCAGCGGAUGCGGUUGAAAACAAAACAAAACAAAUUCCUACCUGCUACAAUAAUGCAAAUCCACGGAAAGUUCGUUAUCGUGCUAUCCUACAUCGGGCAGCAAGGACCACAGCCCACAGCAGGGGUUUAUACGGAGACCUCUUCAGAACAGAGCACUACCAUUAGUUCUAUAUGAACACAUCAGCCCAACUACAAAUAUCUCACAAAAAAAAUAUCUAAUAGGGACAACCAAACGCAAAACGCAAAACGCAAAACGCACUGCAGGUGGAUCUGGAUCUGGGGUUCUGGAUCCAGUAGGCAGCAGAACGCUACCAGCACCACCCUCCCGGCCAGCAGAGCGUGCGCAUGGGCGUACCUUCGCGAGAUGCGGAUGGGGGAGACGCGGCCGGAGGCGUCGUGCGCCGCGAGCGCCAGCGCCGUUGUCCGCGGGUGCUGCUACGCCUCCACCGUCGUCCACGGGUGCGGGCGCAGCGUGCAGGGUGCAGGGGAGGCGGCGGCGCAGGGCGCAGGGUGUAGGGGAGGCGGGGGCGCAGGGCGCAGGGGGCAGGUCGGCGGCGGGAGUGUGGCGGCGGCGGCGCUCGCUGCAGGGGACGCGCGAGUGCGGACAGGGGACGAGGCGCGGGUGCUGGCGCUCGCUGCCUUGCUC